UUUUCAUAUUAAUAACGUUUUACGCUACAUGUGUCCAGAUACCAUCAGAGAUUCACCGAUGGUCACCAUCUACCCGAUCUCUUCGAUUUCAGUUGACCAAAGUGAAAAAAGAAAUAGUUAUGGCAGAUUCAGUUGGUUGUAUUUGGAUUCUUUGUCUCUAUCUUCAAAUGUAGGGUUGUUAAUGGUUUGCAGGACUUCCUGAAUCGUCGUCUCUCAUUCUAACACAGGCCAGAUGUGGAUGAGUAUUCCCUGAUUUCCACUGAAGUCUUCUGAAGUGCUACAGCAAACUGAUGUCUGUGUACUGUAGAUAUCAAACCUGCAAACUCCCAAGUGGUGAAAAAGAUACUUUUGGAGAUGUUGCAUUAAAACCCUUCCAGCUAUCCUUCCUUCAUUGCCAUACAAAGUGGGUUGGAACAAAUAUCAUUCAGCAUUUGGACGAGGAGGAGCAAUGGAGGCAAUUCCCUCAUGUCCUGCAGUUUUGGGAUAAAAUCAAGCCUUCGUUAUUGUGGGAGGAAUGGAACUGAAGCAAGACCAUCUUUUACAAGCAGUUGAUACAUGCUUUAAAUUAUUGUACAUUUUGGACCAGCCUGCUGGGCAGUCUCUACAGCACACAAUUGCUACUCCAUAUUCUGUUCCAUCAACACAGUGUCACCUAUUUAAACAGUUUAUAAUUACAUUGUCUGUACUAGCUUUGUUCUGUUUAUUUAUUUAUUUAUGAUUCUUGUAAAUUGAAACAUAAUGCAAGUAACUUAAUGUGAUAAUUAAAUACACAUUUGCAACCAAUAAAUUAAUUUAAUAGUUUGCGACUUUAAAUGUAAUGGAAAUAAAGCAUUUUGAAUAUA